UUCGGAUUUCGAACACCACAGUACGACCGCCGAUUCGGCCUUAGUCAUGUCAUCACGAUCCCGGAACGCGCGUUAGAAACCUAACCCUCUCCCCUUAUCCAACUCGUCACGGAUUCGCUACGUAUCAAAAAUAUAAUCAACCUAUUCCGAGUGCGUUCAUGUCUUUCCGUCGUUGUUUAUUGUAAAACUUAUCGUCACGCGUGCUCACCCGUCGUGGCACGUCAAAAUUAACCUGACAACAGUGAGAAGAAACGUGUGCCCGCAGCAGUCGUCUGGGAUUUAUGGUGUCGGGAGGACAACAUUUCUGGAAGACAUCAACAUUUUGCACCCGAAAAGCUUUCCAUGAUUUGAGAACACAUUCAAAAUGAUUACCAACUCGAUGAAAAUCUAUAUACCUUUAGGAAAUUCAAAGGGAUAACGGACAAGCAAUAUUAGUUUAAUAUUAAUAUAAUACGUCAUGUGGAUGCAGAUAUUUUUUCAUUUCCGAACAUAAAGUGGCGUCACAUCUCCAACGAAAAGAAAAUCUUUUAUAUCCAUAUUCAUUAAAAUCCAAAUAAAGAGGAACUUUGCCCGCAGUGGAGAUUGCGAGACAGAAAUCUUGCGGCCGCGGCGCCGGUGCAGUUUGAUCGCAUUACAAUAAUAAUAUUAUAUAAUAUUAUGUAGAGCGACUUGCACAGGUCACCGACGGAAUCCACUGCGACGAUAACGACAAAUGAGAAUAUCAUUUCUCCUACAAUAGCAGCGCACGUGGUUAUUCACUCUGCCGGGCCGAGGUGGCGACGUGUAAUCGUCGGUACGGGAAUGCGAUCAAAAAUCCGUUUCAGCGUACACUGCUGCAUCGCGGACGACGGAUAUAAAUGUCGCCCGAACUGCAGAGACGCAGUUCCCUAAUUAUAAUUUGGCUACGAGCAAUAUAUGAGCUGAUGCAGUAUACUGUUGCGGUAGAUCUGGGGAAGACGCACGAGUCCGAACGCCACGGUUCGUGUCUGGACAGUUAUUAAGUCUAAUGAACUUCGUCCAAAUCAUUUACGCCCAAAGAAUCCGUAUACCGGCAAUAUCAUUGCGUGCUGCCAUCUGCGUGGUACGUCAUGAGCAGAACGAUCGAGAACACCGCCAUCUCCCGAAAUCAGAAUACUCGUCGAAAAUUGAUGCUGCAAAUAAACGUAGAACUUUAAAUAACCCGAUAAAACUAUUAUUAUAUUAUUUAUUAUGACGCAAGAUACAAAAUAAGAAACCUUAAUAUUAUAUAAAAAUCACUGCGAGAAAAUAUUAAUAAUUACCAAUUUAGUGUUUAUUACUUACAAUAGAUCUAUACAGCUUUAAAUAAUAUAUUUUUUUUUUUUUUUUAUUGAUCUGAAAUAUACAUCGACAACUAGGCCAUUAGUACACGAAUUUUAGAUUACAUUGUUAGUAUUUUAGCAUUUACAUGGUUACAUUAAAUUAAAUUGUACAAUUCUGUUUUUUUUAAGAAUAAGAUUAAGUUUUUAACGUCUUGUGGGUUUGGUCCUAGUGCUUGACAAAUUUGUUCUGAUUAAAUAAUAUAUUAAAUAUGUUUUGAUUCAUAUAUAUUAUUCUACUUGAGUUGUGUAAUAUAUUCAUUUAUAAGCCGAUAGAUUAAAAAUAUUAUUUAGUAUACUAUGUAAUUAUAAUAUUAUGUUACAAAAUAUAAUUUUAAGAAGACACCACAACCGCAUGUAUUUUCGUUUUACAAACGUUCAAUAUAUCAAAUAUUUAAAUUUUAAAAUGCUCACACCUAACUCGUAUUAAAGAUUAAGUGAAUUUUCAAUAGUAUUAAACUUUAAAACUAACAACACAAAAUUAGUUCUGAAUGUACAAAAUAUUUAGUCAUUUAUAAGACGGAGACAACACGUCAUACCGUGUGACAUGUUUUUAACGAAAUUUAACAGUGAUAAUAAUAAAUAGUUAUACCAGCAUAUUAUUAUCAUCGUACGCUCUGAUAGGUAUCAUAAGUAGGUUGUAGGUGUAUGGUAUACCUUUUAAAGUUUCCAAGAAAAUUAUCCUUAACUCGAAUAUGUACACUUACACAUCCAAGUAAAAACAAUUGGUAUUCUAUAUUGUCGUAUGCGGUCUACCGCACACUUGUCGUUUACCACGAGUCUUUUGAGUCAAUCUCACAGAGUCGAUGGCAGCGACAAUUAAAUUUUAUCACGAUCAAAGGACACAUUGGGGCUCAAAAAAAAAAUGUAUUGCUUACCUAUUCAUCGCGUAUAAAGUUUAUGGAUGCUUUAAAACUUCUUAAAUAUAGAUAGAGUUAAAAAUGUGCAUGGUACACCAUAUCUUUAACAGAACGCUAGUGACGUCUGAAAAAUGAUUAAAGACGGUGCCCGUUUGAAUCUUUUUUAAGAAACGUCAAAUGAUAAUAUUAUAUUGUAAUAGAUACAUAAUAAACACUUUUUGAUAAUUGUUUUUUAUAAAUAAUUGUAUUAUUUUAUAUACACAUAACGUUAAUAAUGUAAAAAAUAAUAAAUUAUUGUCUAUAGAAUUAUAUACCUAUUUAGAAUUAGAUAAUUAAAUAACAGCAUGCUAUAAAUACGUUGGUGUACUAUUGAAUGAUGUUUUAUUAUAUAGGUCAUAGGUAAUGUUGAAAUAUACAUAUUUUUUAGUAUUAUUAUUUAUUAAAUAUAUUACCUAUUAUUUCUAUAUAUUUAAGUACCUAUUUAUUGAUAUUUUAAUUAAAUAUAAAACCACGUGAUUGACCGCAUAUGACGUGAGAUAGAAACGUGAGGUAGUCCGCUACGACAGGAAUACCAAACAAUUGAUUAUUGUGUAUUUUAUACUUAUUAUUUUCAUUAAUAACUUUUACUUUAUAAAAAUAUUGAACAUCAUCAUGUCACCGCCACAAGGGUGUAACAAUAUAUGUAAAUAAAAUUGAUUAAAACAUCGUAAUUUUUCAUUAAAAUAUAUAAUUUUGUCAGUCUAUGUCUAUAAAAAAAUUGAUGUCUAUGUAAUUUAAAUAUUUUUUUAAUCACUGUAAGAAUAACUUUGAAAAAAAAGAACCUUGUAUUGAA